UACGUAGGGUGCAGGCGUUAAUCGGAAUUACUGGGCGUAAAGCGUGCGCAGGCGGUCUGCUAAGAGAGAUGUGAAAUCCCCGGGCUUAACCUGGGAACUGCGUUUCUAACUGGCAGGCUUGAGUGUGGCAGAGGGGGGUGGAAUUCCACGUGUAGCAGUGAAAUGCGUAGAGAUGUGGAGGAACACCGAUGGCGAAGGCAGCCCCCUGGGCUAACACUGACGCUCAUGCACGAAGCGUGGGGAGCAAACAG
rnacentral:rRNA from 1 species